AGCUGGACUCAGGGAUAACUAGUGAAUCGAAUAAUCCUCAUAGAAGACUGUCAUUGAGAACGUCAGCCCAUCUCCUCGCAGGGAGCGCUAAUAUGUACAAACGUAAAGUUGAUGAGCUGUUUGAAGAUAUGAACAAACUGAAUGAAGAUCUCACAUGGCGUCGUAAGAGAACUUACAAUUCGAGUAGCUCGGAAAGCACCAGUUCUUCAAAAUCGGUAACAGUGCCUGAACAAAUGAAACGAGCAAAUACCAUCAGUUUUGG